ACAUGCAAUUUCUUUUGCUUUUUACAUUUAGCAAGACAUUUAUUUCCUUUUGAAAAUAUUAUUUUAUUUACAUGAAUGUGUAAGUUUUUGGUUGCUGUUUGUGUGGGAUCAGCCCAUUUAAAAGCUGGAGGCCCAACAAGAAGUCAGACCCGCCCAACGUUCUAAUAUAACAAAGGCGUGUUUCUAACAAAUUACAGGUAACGUUUCUUCUAGGAUGAUGACACUUGGCAAAAAUAAAACCGUUGGAUGGAGAAGUGAUCAUUUUCACACAUAUUAGGGUUAGAAACUUGUAGGGUUUUACUUUCAUUUUCUCGAACAGCUUCUAGAAUUCUCUAUUCUCUCUCUGUAAUUUCUUUCUUCGUGAAUCUCUGAAAUUGUGUGUAAUUUUUGAGAGUUUGAGAGUUGAUGAACUCUUGUGUGAGUCCAUCCUGUUUGUAACAAGGCCAUGUGUUGGCCGUGAACUGAACUCCGCGUUCUGUGUAUUGUUGAAGCUGUUCUUGGCCGGUUUUUUUAGUGGAUUCGAGCUAAUUCCUUUGUGGAUGCUCAACGGGGAUUAGACAACUGAGAAGUUGUUGAAUCUCGGGGUUUAGGCCGAAAAAUCGCUGUGUUCUUAUUUUUGUGUUUUUCAGAUCUACACUUGAUCUUGUAUAUUUUUGCGAUUUCUUGCGUCUUUGACUUCGAUUCUGAACCUACAGUGGUAUCAGAGCUUUUGGAAAAAUUGUUGUUGUCGUUUUUAGACUUUUUGAGCUUAGGGUUCUGAAACUGGAACCAAGAGAGGUUCUCUGGCCAAAAAGAAAAACCACAGAUCUUUUCAAAUCUGCCAACAGUCAACUUUAUUUUUUUGUUUAUGCCCUUUUUUCUUUAUUUUUGGUUCGUAAAAGAAAUUUUUUUUAAAGGAAAGGAAGCUGUCCUUUGGGUGUAUUUCUCUAAAAAUCACGAGAUCUUGAGCUGUUUUGUUGUUCUCUUAAAAAGUAAAAGGAAGAUAUAUAAUUUUACUUUUCUGGAACCUACGGUAUUUUAUCAAAUAAUCCUCUGUUCAGGUUUUGUCAAGUGAUUUUUUGUUGGGGUCUUGUGAUCAUCAGUGCCUCUUGAGUAUUAUUUUGAAAUCUUGUAGUUUCGUGUGAUCCCUUGGGGUUACCUGCAAACAAUUGCAGUGAAUUAGUUUGGGGUAACAAAAUUUUUUUCUAAAAAAAAAAAAAACAAGGUCUCAAGCUGAAUCUCCCCUAAAUCUUCCUCUGUCUAGGGGUCCCUGUGAGAACCCUAGAAUCUUUGGGGAUUAGGGCUUCGAUUCUUGAAACCUAUGCCACUUGUGUGUGUGAAUUCUAGCAAUACCCAGAAUUGAAAUACUGUAUUCCUGAACUGCAUACUCAUUUGUUAAAUUGCACUAAUAUUUUUCUUUUGAUCUCCUCAGGUGUGAAUUACAGUUUUCACCUGAAAAUAAUUCCCUACGAAAGGUAUAAAUAUUUUUAUUAUACCAUUUGAUAGCUUACUGUGUGUAACUAUUUAAAAAAAAAAAAAACUCCAUUGUAUGCUUAGUGACAUGUGUUAUUAAUCUGUAUUGAUCUAUGUGACAUACUUAUGUACACAUCACACUAGAGCACAAGUAAUAUGAAAUUGUGAAAUUGGAAUAAAUUGACAUUGAUCUGCUGUGACAUACUGUUGACUGAAUAAUUGUUGUGGGAUAAAUUUUGUUUGUUGUAUCUACUUGUGCACUGUUUUGAUAUAUAUAUAUAUAUAUAUAUAUAUAUAUAUAUAUAUAUAUAUAUAUAUAUAUAUAUAUAUAUAUAUAUCACUGCACACAAUGAACUCUAAGGUAAAUGUCCAAAUUUGGGAUGGCAAAGGAGACUUUAGUCUCUGGCGCCAAAAAAUGAGAGCCCUUAUGCUACAGUUGAAAUGUAAUAAGGCCAUUGAUGAAUCUUGGCCAGAAAACCUACUUGAGGUUAGGAAAAUUGAACAAGAUGAAUUGGCCUGGAGCACUUUGUUCCUGCAUUUGUCUGAUUCUGUGAUUAGGAAAGUAGGAGAAACUAGUACUGCUGUAGAACUUUGGACUGCCUUAGAAAAACAUUAUCUCACAAAGACUGUACCAAAUAAGUGUUUUCUAUGGAGACAAUUCUUCAGCUUUAAGUUUGACCCUAACCUUGAAAUAGAAGAUAGCAUGGAUAAAUUCAAUAGGAUCACACAAGACUUAGUGAACUGUGAUGAAAAGAUAUCUGAUGAAUAAAAAGUUGUUGGUCUACUUAAUGCUUUAGGAGAUAAAUAUAAAGAUAUAAGAAACGCCCUAGAGUAUGGUAGGAGUGAUCUCACUGUUGAAAUAAUCCACAGUUCUCUCCUAAGUAGAAAACUGGAAUCUAAAUCUGAACACAAAGUGGUGUUCAAUACUAUGGGUGUGCAAUCAAACCAAAAGAUCCACAUGAAGGGUGUGAGUAAUUUCAGUCAUUCUAAUUUUAACAAGGAUAAAAAUUUCAUCAAAAGAAAAUGGAGUAACACAAGAGUUAAGGACAAGAAACCAAAUAAAGGAAAACCAAACAACACAAACAAUAGAAAAUGCUUCUACUAUGGUAGGACUGGGCACUAUAUAAAGGACUGUUUCAAAAAGGCCAAUGAUCAAAGAAAUGGGUCUAACACUGAAAAUGCUUCUUUAGCCAUUGCUGCUAAUCAAAAAGAAGCUGGAAUCAAUAAUGGGGUUGCCUAUGUGUCUGUAACUGAAAGAAGUAAUCAGGAUUGGGUCCUAGAUUCAGGAUGCUCUUUCCAUAUGACACCCACUAUUGGCUGCCUCUCAGACUUUUGUAGUCUUGAUGGAGGAUUGAUAAAACUUGGAAAUGACGAGUCAUGUCAAGUAAAGGGUGUUGGCAAUGUGUUACUGAAACUCAAAAAUGGUCAUCACAUGUUGUUGAAACAUACUAGAUAUGUGCCAGCACUUCGAAGAAAUCUCAUAUCCCUAGGAGUUCUUGAUGAUGAAUAUUAUCAAAUUGAAAUAAAGAAUGGUUUUACAAAUAUAAAAAGAGAUCAGGAACUAAUUGUUAGUUCACCCAAGUAUAAUGGGAUUUAUAUAUUAGGUGCUGAAAUAAUCUCACCUAAUAAUGCUGUGAAUUUUGUCACACAUCCCGAUAAAUCAGAAUUAUGGCAUAAAAGACUUGGCCAUUUAGGUGAAAAAGGUUUGAAAAAUCUAUCACAUCCAGGGGCAUUUGGAAGAGACAGCGUUCAAAAACUAACCUUUUGUGAACACUGUAUAAUGGGAAAGCAAGUCAGACUGCCUUUUAAGGUAGGGCUGCACAAAUCCCAAGAUGUCCUUGAAUACAUACAUUCUAAUUUAUGGGGACCUGCACCUGUUUCAACUAUCUCUGGUUAUAGAUAUUAUCUUCUUAUCACUGAUGACUAUUCCAAAAAAAUAUGGAUUUUCUUAUUAAAAUCUAAGUCUGAUAAUUUUGCAAUUUUCAAAGAAUGGAAUGUAUUAAUUGAAAAUCAGACUGGUAAGAAGAUAAAAUUUUUAAGAACUGACAACGGUCUUGAAUUUUGUAACACAGAAUUUGAUCAGUAUUGUGGAAAACAAGGGAUUAUGAGACAUAGAACUGUAAUCUAUACCCCUCAGCAAAAUGGAGUUGCUAAGAGGUUAAAUAGAACCAUUCUUGAGAGGACCAGAUGUAUGUUAAUUAGUUCUGGCCUACCAAAAGUCUUCUGGGGAGAAGCAGUAAAAACUGCAUGUUAUCUAAUUAAUAGAUGUCCAUCUAGCUUUUUGAAUAAUCAGAUUCCUGAACAAAUCUGGUCUGGCACAAUGCCAAAUUAUUCCUACCUAAGAACUUUUGGAUGUGCAGCUUAUGCACAUCACACUGAAUCAAAACUGGAUCCUAGAUCUCUGAAGGGUGUGUUCUUAGGAUAUGGAGAAGGUGUUAAAGGGUAUAGACUGUGGUUAAAAGAUGUGAGAGGUUAUAAAGUGAUAAUAAGUAGAUCUGUUAUUUUUAACGAAGAUGUCUUUCCUUGUCUUAGUGACAAAUCUGAUGAAAGAUUAGGAAAUGAUGAUUUUGUUAUCACAGAAAUCAAUUUUGAUACCCAAAACAUAAAUGACCAGGCUCAGUUUGAGGUAGAGCCACAUCAGGUGGAACCACAGAUUACUAUAGAUGAUGAUAUCCCUGAAAAUGAGCAAUGUUUGGAGCCUGCACAUGACCUGCAGGACUACCAGCUUGCUAGGGACAGAGAUAGGAGGCAAAUCAGGCCUCCUACUAGGUAUCAAUAUGCUGAUUUUGCAACUGAUCAGUCUGAGUUUGAUUUGUUUGAUUCAGAACCUACCUCUUAUGAAGAGGCUAUCUCCUCUAAGGAAUUCCCUAAGUGGAAUGCUGCAAUGAAAGAGGAAAUGAACUCCCUCUAUAAAAAUCAAACCUGGAUUUUAGUUGAAAGACCAAAAGAUUGCAAAUUGAUUGAUUGUAAGUAGGUCUAUAAGAUUAAAGAAGGUGAGAUUGAAACUAGUGAUAAAAGGUACAAGGCAAGACUUGUAGCAAAAGGCUUAAAUCAAAGAGAAGGGAUAGACUACACUGAAAUUUUUUCACCGAUUGUUAAAUAUACAUCCAUUAGAAUCCUACUUGCCUUAGUGACACAGUUUAACUUGGAGUUAGAACAACUUGAUGUGAAAACUGCUUCUUGUAUGGUUUUUUGGAUGAAACCAUACAUAUGACUCAACCAAAGGGUUUUGAAGUAAAAGGAAAGGGGAACUUAGUGUGUCUCUUAAAAAAAUCCUUGUAUGGCCUAAAACAAGCUCCUAGGCAGUGGUAUAAAAGAUUUGACUCGUUUAUACAAGGUUUAGACUUUAAGAAAUUUGAAUAUGAUCCCUGUUUUUAUUUUAAGAAAGAUGGUAAAUCUGAAUUUUUCUAUCUUCUCUUGUAUGUUGUUGAUAUGCUCCUAGCUGGACAUAAUUCUGUUACACUCAAUCAAAUUAAAGAAAAUCUGAAAUCUGAAUUUGAAAUGAAAGACCUUGGACCAGCUAGAAAAAUUUUGGGCAUGGAAAUAAAAAGGGAUAGAAUAAAUGGAAAAUUGUUCCUAACUCAAAAAUCUUAUAUUGAUAAGGUAGUAAAAAGAUUUUCUCUUCAUGAUUCUAAACCUGUUAGUCUACCUCUAUCUUCGUGCAUGAAACUAUCUGUUAAUCACUCACCAAAAACUGAAGAAAAACAUAAUAGGAUGAUGAAUGUUCCAUACUCUAAUGCUGUUGGAUCUGUUAUGUAUAUUAUGGUAUGUACUAGACCUGAUAUUGCUUUUGCUGUGAGUGUGUUAAGCAGACUUAUGAGUAACCCAGGUGAAAUACAUUAGCAAUGUAUGAAAAAUCUGAUUAAAUACUUAAAAGGUACUAGCCAAUUAGGUUUAAUGUUCAAAACUGAUAAAAAUGGACUUAAACUUAAGGGUUAUGUAGAUUCAGACUUUGCUGAAAAUCCUGAUAACAGGAAGUCCACAACUGCAUAUUUUUAUGUCAUUAAUAACACAUGCAUUAGCUGGAAAUCCCAACUUCAAAAACUGGUUGCAUUAUCUUCAACUGAGGCUGAAUAUAUUGCUGCAACUGAGGCUGUUAAAGAGGGGUUAUGGUUAAAGGGAUUACUUGGUGAGUUAGGUCUUGUAGAAAAUGAGGUGGAGCUAUGUUCUGACAACCAAAGUGCAAUUUUUCUAAGUAAAAAUCCAAUCUUGCAUGAUAGAUCAAAGCAUAUAGAUGUAAAGUUUCAUUUUAUUAGAGAUAUCAUAGAUAGAGGUGAUAUUAAAUUGACAAAAAUAUCUAUCAAGGUAAACCAUGCAGAUGCUGGAACCAAGGUAAUUCCUAUCAAUAAGUUUGCUGAUUCUUUGAGAUUAAUAAAUCUUGAAGAAGGCUAAUUCUUUUUAUUUUUGCAGGUAAUAAGAGCAAAUGAAACAAAUGAUAAGUUCUUGAAUCCACAAUGGUGCAAGCAAAUAGCAAAGGUGGAGAUUGUAAGUUUUUGGUUGCUGUUUGUGUGGGAUCAGCCCAUUUAAAAGCUGGAGGCCCAACAAGAAGUCAGACCCGCCCAAUGUUCUAAUAUAACAAAGGCGUGUUUCUAACAAAUUACAAGUAACGUUUCUUCUAGGAUGAUGACACUUGGCAAAAAUAAAACCGUUGGAUGGAGAAGUGAUCAUUUUCACACAUAUUAGGGUUAGAAACUUGUAGGGUUUUACUUUCAUUUUCUCGAACAGCUUCUAGAAUUCUCUAUUCUCUCUCUGUAAUUUCUUUCUUUGUGAAUCUCUGAAAUCGUGUGUAAUUUUUGAGAGUUUGAGAGUUGAUGAACUCUUGUGUGAGUCCAUCCUGUUUGUAACAAGGCCAUGUGUUGGCCGUGAACUGAACUCUACGUUCUGUGUAUUGUUGAAACUGUUCUUUGCCGAUUUUUUUAGUAGAUUCGAGUUUAUUCCUUUGUGGAUGCUCAACGGGGAUUAGACAACUGAGAAGUUGUUGAAUCUCGGGGCUUAGGCCGAAAAAUCCCUGUGUUCUUAUUUUUGUGUUUUUCAGAUCUACACUUGAUCUUGUAUAUUUUUGUGAUUUCUUGCGUCUUUGACUUCGAUUCUGAACCUA
rnacentral:lncRNA from 1 species